AGGUAAUUACUGAGUAUACUUAAGUGGAACAAAUUUAGGUUUAAAAAACAAGGAGAGCUAUCUACAUCUCAUAUUUUCUCUAAUCCUGUCCUUUGCAGGGGCGAGACUACUGUUCGGAGGAGGAGGAGGAGGAGGAGGAGGAAAAUGGAACAUAGCACAGAGGCCCCCAAAGUACACCCCCACAGAGAGCCUCAUUGUGUUGCCCUGAGCGAUGGAGGUGGCAGAGCGAUGAAGGGACAGACAGAUGAAAGGAUGGAGAGACGGAGGAGGACGCAGUGACGGAUGGGCACACAUUAUCGUGAACGCAGAGAAGGAUUUGAAGCCAUCUAGGCAAACAGUUAUUCCCUCCAGCAGGACAACAACAGCUCCUUGACCUUCCGUCUGGCCCUCCAUAUCUGUCCAUCCGCCCCUCCACGAUCCUGAUUAUUUAACCCCUGCAAUUGGACAGAGGAACUCCCAAAUAUGGGUGGACUGAGAAACCUGUAGUGCUGCCAGAAUCCACACUGGACUUUGUAGCCUGCCUGUACAGCCAGGUCAGCCUGGGCCAUGAGGGACUGAGAGAAUGGA